CAGUCGCCGCGGGAAUACGUAGGGCGCAAGCGUUAUCCGGAAUUAUUGGGCGUAAAGAGCUCGUAGGCGGUUUGUCGCGUCUGCCGUGAAAGUCCGGGGCUCAACCCCGGAUCUGCGGUGGGUACGGGCAGACUAGAGUGAUGUAGGGGAGACUGGAAUCCCUGGUGUAGCGGUGAAAUGCGCAGAUAUCAGGAGGAACACCGAUGGCGAAGGCAGGUCUCUGGGCAUUAACUGACGCUGAGGAGCGAAAGCAUGGGGAGCGAACAGGAUUAGAUACCCCGGUAGUCCCUGUCUCUUAUAC
rnacentral:rRNA from 1 species